CAGUCGCCGCGGUAAUACGUAGGGUGCGAGCGUUAAUCGGAAUUACUGGGCGUAAAGCGUGCGCAGGCGGUUUUGUAAGACAGGCGUGAAAUCCCCGGGCUCAACCUGGGAAUGGCGCUUGUGACUGCAAAGCUAGAGUGCGGCAGAGGGGGAUGGAAUUCCGCGUGUAGCAGUGAAAUGCGUAGAUAUGCGGAGGGACACCGAUGGCGAAGGCAAUCCCCUGGGCCUGCACUGACGCUCAUGCACGAAAGCGUGGGGAGCAAACAGGAUUAGAUACCCCUGUAGUCCCUGUCUCUUAUAA
rnacentral:rRNA from 1 species